UAGCACAUUACAGUACAGCUGUAUUGUUACUGCACUGUACUCUGUGCUCUGCUGUGCUGU
rnacentral:pre_miRNA from 1 species